AUGAAGCCGCCGCUGCUGUCGCUCGCCGUCGUCCUCAUCUCGUGCCUCAUGUAUAACACGGGCGCCUCCGGCGUCCCCGAGGCCGACCACCACGCACAGCGGUUCCAUUCCAUCUUCAGCUUCGGCAGCUCGUACUCGGACACGGGCAACUUCGUCCUCCUGUCCGCCGGCUUCCCCUUCAGCCCCUUCAACAACUCUCCCUACGGGGAGACCUUCUUCCGUCGCCCCACCGGCCGGCCUUCCGACGGCCGCCUCAUCAUCGACUUCAUCGCGGAGGCGCUGGAGCUCCCGCUGGUGCCGCCUUUCAUGUCCAAGGCAGGGAACUUCACCCAAGGAGCCAACUUCGCCAUCGUCGGCGGCACGGCGCUUGACGUCGGGUUCUUCCUGCGGCACAACUCUGGUAGCGUGCCGCCGUUCCGGAGCUCCCUGCGCGCGCAGAUAGGGUGGUUCCGGAAGGUCGUGAAGCAGUCGCUCAGCUGCAACACCACCGCACAAUGCAGGGAGCGCCUCGCGAGGUCUCUGUUCGUGGUAGGCGAGUUGGGCCUCACCGACUACAGCUACAUCCUCUCCGGCGGGAAGAGCCUGCAGGAGGCCAAGUCCUUUGUGCCGGACGUUGUGCAGGCCAUCAUCAGAGGCGUCGAGAGGCUCGUGGAGGAAGGAGCGAGGUACGUGGUAGUAUCAGGGACGCCGCCGAUGGGGUGCACGCCGAUGGCGCUGACAAAAUACGCCGUGGCGGCGAACGCGACGGAGUACGACCGCCGGACGGGGUGCCUGCGGCGGCUCAACGGCCUCUCGCAGUACCAUAACUGGAUGCUGCAGGAGAGCGUGAGGCGCGCGCGUGUGAAGUACCCGGGGACGACGCUGGUGUAUGCCGACUACCACAAGCCCGUGGCGCGGCUCAUCCGGCGCCCGGGAAAGCUCGGGUUCACAGCGGAGCCCCUGCGAGCGUGCUGCGGCGGGGGCGGCCGGUACAACUACAACAUGGACGGAUCGGCGUGCGGCUUGCCCGGCGCGACCGCCUGCAGCGACCCAUCUACCCACCUCUUCUGGGACGGCAUCCACUACACCGAGGCCGCCAACAAAUACAUCGCCCACGGCUGGCUCACCGGACUCUACGCCCAUCCCGCCAUACUCAGCUUGCCGCAAUAG
rnacentral:rRNA from 1 species